UACGAAGGGGGCUAGCGUUGUUCGGAUUUAUUGGGCGUAAAGAGCGUGUAGGCGGCCAGGUAGGUCUGCUGUGAAAACUCGAGGCUCAACCUCGAGAUGUCGGCGGAAACCAUCUGGCUAGAGUCCGGAAGAGGAGAAUGGAAUUCCCGGUGUAGCGGUGAAAUGCGCAGAUAUCGGGAAGAACACCCGUGGCGAAGGCGGUUCUCUGGGACGGUACUGACGCUGAGACGCGAAAGCGUGGGGAGCGAACAGG
rnacentral:rRNA from 1 species